GACGAACGCUGGCGGCGUGCUUAACACAUGCAAGUCGAACGGAAAGGCCCGGCUUUUGUGGGAUGCUCGAGUGGCGAACGGGUGAGUAACACGUGAGUAACCUGCGCUUGACUUUGGGAUAACUUCAGGAAACUGGGGCGAAUACCGGAUAUAAGCACCUGAUGCAUGGUGGGUGUGGGAAAGUUUCGGCGGUUGGGGAUGGACGUGCGGCUUAGCAGCGUGUUGGUGGGGUAGUGGCUUACCAAGGCUUUGACGGGUAGCCGGCCUGAGAGGGUGACCGGCCACAUUGGGACUGAGAUACGGCCCAGACUCCUACGGGAGGCAGCAGUGGGGGAUAUUGCACAAUGGGCGGCAGCCUGAUGCAGCGACGCCGCGUGCGGGAUGACGGCCUUCGGGUUGUAACCCGCUUUCGCCUGUGACGAAGCGUGAGUGACGGUAAUGGGUAAAGAAGCACCGGCUAACUACGUG
rnacentral:rRNA from 1 species